CAGCAGCCACGGGAAUACGAAGGGGGCUAGCGUUGUUCGGAAUUACUGGGCGUAAAGCGCACGUAGGCGGAUAUUUAAGUCAGGGGUGAAAUCCCAGAGCUCAACUCUGGAACUGCCUUUGAUACUGGGUAUCUUGAGUAUGGAAGAGGUGAGUGGAAUUCCGAGUGUAGAGGUGAAAUUCGUAGAUAUUCGGAGGAACACCAGUGGCGAAGGCGGCUCACUGGUCCAUUACUGACGCUGAGGUGCGAAAGCGUGGGGAGCAAACAGGAUUAGAUACCCCAGUAGUCCCUGUCUCUUAUAC
rnacentral:rRNA from 1 species